rnacentral:rRNA from 1 species
GAUGAACGCUGGCGGCGUGCCUAAUACAUGCAAGUCGAGCGAACGGACGAGAAGCUUGCUUUUCGGAUGUUAGCGGCGGACGGGAGAGUAACACGUGGAUACCCUACCUAUAAGACUGGGAUAACUUCGGGAAACCGGAGCUAAUACCGGAUAAUAUUUUGAACCGCAGGGUUCAAAAGUGAAAGACGGUCUUGCUGUCACUUAUAGAUGGGUCCGCGCUGCAUUAGCUAGUUGGUAAGGUAACGGCUUACCAAGGCAACGAUGCAUAGCCGACCUGAGAGGGUGAUCGGCCACACUGGAACUGAGACACGGUCCAGACUCCUACGGGAGGCAGCAGUAGGGAAUCUUCCGCAAUGGGCGAAAGCCUGACGGAGCAACGCCGCGUGAGUGAUGAAGGUCUUCGGAUCGUAAAACUCUGUUAUUAGGGAAGAACAUAUGUGUAAGUAACUGUGCACCUCUUGACGGUACCUAAUCAGAAAGCCACGGCUAACUACGUG